UCUCCAGCUGUUUUUGGACUGCAACUCCCAUCAUCUCUAGCUAGCAGGACCAGUGGUCAGGGAUGAUGGGAGUUGUAGUCUAAAAACAGCUGGGAC
rnacentral:miRNA from 1 species